rnacentral:rRNA from 1 species
UACGUAGGGCGCAAGCGUUAUCCGGAAUUAUUGGGCGUAAAGAGCUCGUAGGCGGUUUGUCGCGUCUGCUGUGAAAGACCGGGGCUCAACUCCGGUUCUGCAGUGGGUACGGGCAGACUAGAGUGCAGUAGGGGAGACUGGAAUUCCUGGUGUAGCGGUGAAAUGCGCAGAUAUCAGGAGGAACACCGGUGGCGAAGGCGGAUCUCUGGGCCAUUACUGACGCUGAGGAGCGAAAGCGUGGGGAGCGAACAGG